UAGGGAAUCUUCCACAAUGGGCGCAAGCCUGAUGGAGCAACACCGCGUGAGUGAAGAAGGGUUUCGGCUCGUAAAGCUCUGUUGUUGGAGAAGAACGUGCGUGAGAGUAACUGUUCACGCAGUGACGGUAUCCAACCAGAAAGUCACCGGCUAACUACGUGCC
rnacentral:rRNA from 1 species